rnacentral:rRNA from 1 species
GUGCCAGCAGCCGCGGUAAUACGUAUGAGGCGAGCGUUGUUCGGAAUUAUUGGGCAUAAAGGGCGUGUAGGCGGGGGAAUUAAGUUAGGUGUGAAAGCCACGGGCUCAACCCGUGAAUUGCACCUAAUACUGGUUCUCUUGAGUUCGGGAGAGGAGAGCGGAAUUCCAGGUGUAGCGGUGAAAUGCGUAGAUAUCUGGAAGAACACCAGUGGCGAAGGCGGCUCUCUGGCCUAGGACUGACGCUAAGGCGCGAAAGCNUGGGGAGCGAACGGGAUUAGAUACCCCGGUAGUCC